ensembl:snRNA U1 U1 spliceosomal RNA
AUACUUACCUGGCAGAGAGAUACCAUGAUCACAAAGAUGGUUUUCCAGGGAAAGGUUUAUCCAAUGCACUCCAGAUGUGCUGACCCUUGGGAUUUCCCCAAAUGAGGGAAAGUUGACUGCAUAAUUUGUGGUAGUGGGAGACUGCAUUCGUGCUCUCCCA